UACGAAGGGGGCUAGCGUUGCUCGGAAUUACUGGGCGUAAAGGGAGCGUAGGCGGAUAGUUCAGUCAGAGGUGAAAGCCCAGGGCUCAACCUUGGAACUGCCUUUGAUACUGGCUAUCUUGAGUUUGGGAGAGGUGUGUGGAACUCCGAGUGUAGAGGUGAAAUUCGUAGAUAUUCGGAAGAACACCAGUGGCGAAGGCGGCUCACUGGCCCGGUACUGACGCUGAGGUGCGAAAGCGUGGGGAGCAAACAGG
rnacentral:rRNA from 1 species